CCGGCGCCCCGCCCCUGCGGCGGGACCGGUGGUGCGUCCCCCUCCCGCCACCCCCGGGGCUACCACGGCCCCUCUCCCGGUCGCCAAAUGGGGCCCGGGCGGCCACCGGACCCGCCGCCCACACCAGCCCUGAGGGAAAACCCCCUCGCCGCCACCCUCCGUUGGGGUCACGCAGGGCCUGAGACCCGUCCCCGUUGUUUUUCCCGGUUCGAGGCCAGCCCCGCGGCGGUGCCGUGAACAGGCGGGGGCCGCGGAGCGGCUCCGUGACUCCCACCUCCGUAGCCUGUUGGCUCCGGUUAAGCCGCCGUCCCCUCAAUUAAGAGAUGGCGUCGCUGGCCGGCUUCCACCCCACCGCACGGCCUCAACGGGGACGCCAAGGAAGCGGCCGCGGCCCGAGCCCCCGCUGCCCACCGGCAGCCCCGAGAACAGCUACUAUGCGUUUGGUUUGUUUUCCCCCUCUAAAGAUUUUUUUUGAGAAGCCUGCUGGAUCGGAAGGGAGGAUUCUUCAAUUUGGGACAAACGGGGAGGCGGGAGCGCGGCCGAACAAGAAAUCUCCCCGUACGGUGUUUGGCACGGUGCUUGCUCAGUCUCCACUUGGAUCCGUGGACAUUUCCUGAAGCCAGAACACCUUCUGGCAGAGUCCCACAGGUCUGCCACCCUGCUCUGAGAACGCGGACUUCAGCUGCCCGAACAGAGGCUUUGGCUUCACCUUCCUACGGCUUAGACCUCAAAGGAGUUCUUUCCAUUCCCUGCUGCUUCCAACCAAGCGCUUUUAAAGACAAGAGUAGCAUUGCUGUGUAACAAAAUACAUCAAGUGAGCAGGUAACUCCCCAAUUACCUAGCAGCCAAAUUAACAACUACGGGAGAAGAGAGAGGCAAAUACCUGCUCAUCGUACAGAUUUUUCUGAAGUAUACAACAGUCUUUGACUCACCGUAACUUCUCCCCUAUAGGAACUGGUAACAGUUAUGGAAAACUAGAAGCUAGAGUUUUUUGCAACAGUUAAGCGCCUGAACAACUUUUGCAAAUCCUGACUAAAUUAAAAGGAAAAGGGCACUUGGUGAGUAGGUGUCAUUAGUGCAGGGUUAUGUCAUCAUCAGUGUGAAACAGAGACAAAUCCUGUUCUUAAGACACGUUUUGAUGCAUUUCAACUAAUGCUUGGAUCGUUCACACUUUAAUAUUAAUCACAGAUAAACGGAGGGCAAGGAGGAAAGCAGUGAGCAGGAAGACAUUAGCAGGCACUCUCAGCACUAACUUGAAAAUUUGGCUAUGAGCAAAAAUCUAAGCUGGAGCAUACUGAAAUUGUCAAGCAGGACACGAGGACCUGGGGCUCACAGCAACCGAAAAGAUGCUAGAAGCCUGGCCAAAAAAUAAAGGACUCUCAGGUCAAGUUCUGGGAUGCAGACUGGAACAGACGUCUGCGAGAAGUGCGUCACAAAUGAUUGAGCGUGCAGAACUUGCACAGAGGAGCUCGGGCCUGGAGCGGCAGCAGGACUUUGGGACUGGGCCAGAAACGCACAGCGAAGGUUGCAGAAAGCACUGGGAACCCAACUGUGUGAAACCCGGCUUUAUUCUGACCGCAGUGCCACAAAACCACGCUCCACAUGCUGAACCCACGGUUGUUCCUAGCGGUGCUUCCCGGUACGAUUGAAGCGCCUGUACAAGUAUUGGA